rnacentral:rRNA from 1 species
AUGCUACCUCGUUUCCAGAGUUCAAUUCCCCCCGUGAUUCUCAUUGAUGAUUUCAGUACUCCAAAAAAGAAACAAUCAUUUUCUCAAGAGGGUUCUUUGUAUAAGCCACAGUGUGAUGAGGAAUUGAAGCCAAAAGUAGGGAUGAUAUUUGAUGACAUUGGCUCGGUGAUGGAAUUUUACAAAACAUAUGCACACAAUGUCGGCUUUGGUGUACGUCUUGGGCAACAAAAAGUCGUGGAUAAUGUGCUUCAGUGGAAGCGCUUCUUGUGUGCAAAAGAAGGCUUUCGGACCGAGAAAGGCAUGAUUGCUAUUGACCCUGCUAAGAAAAGGAGAAAGGUGAAAUUGACAAGAUGUUGA